UACGGGGGAUGCAAGCGUUAUCCGGAUUUAUUGGGUUUAAAGGGUGCGCAGGCGGUCUGUUAAGUCAGCGGUCAAAGCCCGGGGCUCAACCCCGGCCCGCCGUUGAAACUGGCAGUCUCGAGUUGGAGAGAAGUAUGCGGAAUGCGCGGUGUAGCGGUGAAAUGCAUAGAUAUCACGCAGAACUCCGAUUGCGAAGGCAGCAUACCGGUGCACAACUGACGCUCAGGCUCGAAAGCAUGGGUAGCGAACAGG
rnacentral:rRNA from 1 species